GGAAAUUCCGUAGCUCAGGGGUAAAGCAUCUGCCUUGGAUGCAGAAAGUCCUAGGUUCAAUCCCUGCUAUCGCCA